rnacentral:tRNA from 1 species
GAGAAGAUGGCCGAGAGGUUGAAAGCGGCAAUUUGCUAACAAUUUGCUAAAUUGUUAUAUUUACAAAAUAAAAAAUAAUUUCGAAGAUAUCAUAGGUUCGAAUCCUAUUCUUCUCAC